UUUUAUUUAACAAUCCAGUGAUCGAACUCAAGAGUGAGUUACAGGUAGACGAUUUAUCGAGAAUUUCGUUACAAUGUAAUAUAAAAAAGAUCUUGGUUACGAAAAGAGUUGGAUUCCGAGUGACUGUCUGUCUGUCCGUGCAAGCGAUAACUUGAGCAAAAUUUAGACAUCAUGAUGAAACUUGGUACAUAUUCCUUGGCACCCAAACAGCCGUUAAGCGAAAAUACAUACAUAAUGUGUCAUAACUAAGUACUAAAUUAAGAUACAAAACUGUAAUUUGGUACAGCAGAUCAAGGGACACCUAUGUCAAUUUUUUUAAAGUGGCCGUGUCAUCGUCCCCUAAAUGGUUUAAUGUACAUAUCUCCCAAACCGCUGCUAAAUUAUUUUAAGCAUUUCUUCAUACGCUGUGAAAAUGGGUAAAAUCAUCCAAACCCCAUAUGGUAAAAAUAUCAAAACCCCAUAAACGGUUGUGUUAAAAACUGCGAUAUCUCACUGAAUAAAUGCAUGAAAUUUUACAACCAAGAUGCCAGGGAAGGGUUUUACGGGAGCAGGUGCACCGUCCACCUUUGGGGGAAAUCCUAUAUCUUAAAAACUACUUGACCAAUUUCAACCAAAUUUGAUUAGUAAGGUUAUCCAAAUAUUUCUAUCACACGCUGUGAAAAUGGGCGAAAUCGGAAACGCCUAGUUUAUACAGGUAUAUAACAAACUUUUAAAUUUAAUCUGAUUUUUCUACUUCAGAGUAAACAAAUUAAACAUCAAUGCAGUUAUCAAUAUGAGGUUUGGAGAAAAUCGGAACAAAAUAUUCCAUAGCCCUUAUAUACCUUGUUAGUUAUAGUUGACAUCACUAAAAGGGCAAACCAAAUACCAUGUAUAUGUACAUAAUUAAGUUUCUUAUGUAUUACACCUGUUACUCUUUUCAUUGUUAUUUUUACAUACUAAGUACAGUUUUUUGUUCACUUCAAUAAAACAUUUCGUAUCGAACGAACGUCUUUGUGUUAAAUGUUCUAAAGAGAUUUAAUUUAUUAGAAAAGAUAGAUAUGUACAUCUUUUAUCAUAUUAAUCUUAUAUACUAAUGUAAACACAUGCAUCAUGCACAUAUGAAUGUAUGUACGCAUUCAGAAAUUUAAAUCAUGAUUUUAUCACUUAUAUAUGUAUAUGUACAUAUAAUAUAAUCAUGAUGGUUGCCGGAUAAAAAGAAGGCUACAUGGGCAAACAUCGCCCGAGGGCUAGGAGAAACAGGUUUAUUAAGGAAAUACGAAUGGUUGAGUCCUCUUUCGGCAGUGCGGCGCUCAUUACGACACUUGGCCAUUGCUGAAAAAUAUAGACUUCUUAAAACCGUUUGUAAAGGCUAGACCAAAUCGCUGCACAUCAAAUAUAUUUGAUUUUCAAAACUCGUCGAAAUUCGCUGUUGGUUGAUGCAGAGGAGUCUCCGCAGUUGAUGCAGUCGCCGCCGGAGUUGUCGGCGUAAAGGAGUAAGGAGAAAACGAAGGAAGACAAACAGCGACGUUGACGACAGUUUUAAAGAAGCCGUUGAAUUAUACAAAAAAGCGUGUAAGGAGCGGGCUUCUCAAAAAGGCAGCGAGACGGUGCAAGCAUCCGACAAAAUGUUGGUGAAACUCAUACAUAUAUAAUGACUGAUAUGAGCUAAGGUAAGCAGAUGAAAGCCACACAGGUGCUCAGCAAUAAUUUAAUGGCCAUAGAAGCGGAGCUAGAGGAAUUUGAAUUUAGCCAUGUCUGAUCGUGUGUUCUUUUUUAACGUCUGUUAACAUUUUGCCGAAUGCUUGCACCGUCUCGCUGCUUAUUCAUAUAUAUUACAUGAUUUACUUUGGUCCUAUGUAAUUGUACCUACAUAUAUAUUUACAUACAUAUAUAUUCAUAUAUGUUUAUUAACUGAAUUACUUUGUUCAUAUGUACCUCCAGAGCAGAUAUCUAUAUUAAUUAAUUUUUAAUAAUAGCUUUAAAAAUUUGUUAUUGAAAUUAUACUUAUAUUUACAUAUAUAACAAUGAAUGCUUUUGAAUCAUGUAUCCUUUUUAUUUUUUUAUAUACAUAGUUAUGUUUGUUGUUGUAGCGGCUGAAAACAUUCUUGAAGUAACUUCGAGGAAUGGUUCAGAGCUAUAUAUAUAAUAUAUAUUUAUAUUAAGUGCAAUUUAAUAAAUAAAUGUACAGAUGGUUUAAGUUAUAGAAUAA